rnacentral:rRNA from 1 species
AACGAACGCUGGCGGCAGGCCUAACACAUGCAAGUCGAGCGAAGCCUUCGGGCUUAGCGGCGGACGGGUGAGUAACGCGUGGGAACGUGCCCUUUGGUACGGAAUAGCCCCGGGAAACUGGGAGUAAUACCGUAUGUGGUCGAGAGAAGAAAGAUUUAUCGCCAAAGGAACGGCCCGCGUUGGAUUAGGUAGUUGGUGGGGUAAUGGCCUACCAAGCCGACGAUCCAUAGCUGGUUUGAGAGGAUGAUCAGCCACACUGGGACUGAGACACAGCCCAGACUCCUACGGGAGGCAGCAGUGGGGAAUCUUAGACAAUGGGGGAAACCCUGAUCUAGCCAUGCCGCGUGAUCGAUGAAGGCCUUAGGGUUGUAAAGAUCUUUCAGUGGGGAAGAUAAUGACUGUACCCACAGAAGAAGCCCCGGCUAACUCCGUGCCAGCCGCCGCGGUAAUAC